GUGGGGAAUAUUCCGCAAUGGACGAAAGUCUGACGGAGCAACGCCGCGUGAGUGAUGAAGGUUUUCGGACUGUAAAGCUCUGUUGUUUAGGACGAAAGUGCCUGUUGCAAAUAGUUACAGGUAUUGACGGUACUGAACGAGGAAGCCACGGCUAACUACGUGCCAGCAGCCGCGGUAAUACGUAGGUGGCAAGCGUUGUCCGGAAUUAUUGGGCGUAAAGAGCAUGUAGGCGGGAAUCUAAGUCUGUUGUGAAAAUGCGGGGCUCAGCCCCGUAUUGCGAUGGAAACUGGGUUUCUUGAGUGCAGGAGAGGAAAGGGGAAUUCCCAGUGUAGCGGUGAAAUGCGUAGAUAUUGGGAGGAACACCAGUGGCGAAGGCGCCUUUCUGGACUGUGUCUGACGCUGAGAUGCGAAAGCCAGGGUAGCGAACGGGAUUAGAAACCCGGGUAGUCC
rnacentral:rRNA from 1 species